rnacentral:rRNA from 1 species
AUUGAACGCUGGCGGCAUGCCUUACACAUGCAAGUCGAACGGCAGCGAACCUUCGGGUGUCGGCGAGUGGCGAACGGGUGAGUAAAGUAUCGGAACGUACCAUUCAGUGGGGGAUAACGUAGCGAAAGUUACGCUAAUACCGCAUAUUCUGUGAGCAGGAAAGCAGGGGAUCGCAAGACCUUGCGCUGAUUGAGCGGCCGAUAUCAGAUUAGCUAGUUGGUGAGGUAAAGGCUCACCAAGGCGACGAUCUGUAGCGGGUCUGAGAGGAUGAUCCGCCACACUGGGACUGAGACACGGUCCAGACUCCUACGGGAGGCAGCAGUGGGGAAUUUUGGACAAUGGGCGCAAGCCUGAUCCAGCCAUGCCGCGUGAGUGAAAAAGGCCUACGGUU